GUCACCUACGUGCCUCUCUGAUGAUCUUAGACCCCAUGUAAAGUGAUGAUGGUUAGGAUUGGCUGGCUUUGAACCCCAUCCACGAUACUCAAAUAAUCUUGUCGACGUAUAGACACAUCUGGGGAAUGAUGAUUCCAAAGGUACAUUACCACAGGUAACCACCCCAGAGACUUUCACAUAUUGCCCAUUCUUUGCAGUUCUAAGAUCAGCAUCAGGAUAACAAGCAAUGAAUUCUAUGAUAGCCUUUCUCCCCCAAAACAUAUUCCAAACA
rnacentral:misc_RNA from 1 species